GACCAGACUCCUACGGGAGGCAGCAGUGGGGAAUAUUGCACAAUGGGGGAAACCCUGAUGCAGCGACGCCGCGUGAGCGAUGAAGUAUUUCGGUAUGUAAAGCUCUAUCAGCAGGGAAGAAGAUGACGGUACCUGACUAAGAAGCCCCGGCUAACUACGUGCCAGCAGCCGCGGUAAUACGUAGGGGGCAAGCGUUAUCCGGAUUUACUGGGUGUAAAGGGAGCGUAGACGGCGAUGCAAGCCAGAUGUGAAAGCCCGGGGCUCGACCCCGGGACUGCAUUUGGAACUGUGUGGCUGGAGUGUCGGAGAGGCAGGCGGAAUUCCUAGUGUAGCGGUGAAAUGCGUAGAUAUUAGGAGGAACACCAGUGGCGAAGGCGGCCUGCUGGACGAUGACUGACGUUGAGGCUCGAAAGCGUGGGGAGCAAACAGGAUUAGAUCCCCGAGUA
rnacentral:rRNA from 1 species